rnacentral:rRNA from 1 species
GGGAAACCGGAGCUAAUACCGGAUAAUAUAUUGAACCGCAUGGUUCAAUAGUGAAAGACGGUUUUGCUGUCACUUAUAGAUGGAUCCGCGCCGCAUUAGCUAGUUGGUAAGGUAACGGCUUACCAAGGCAACGAUGCGUAGCCGACCUGAGAGGGUGAUCGGCCAUACUGGAACUGAGACACGGUCCAG